rnacentral:lncRNA from 1 species
UGAAUUCGACUUCUCUGUUCACUGGAAGUCCAGGUAGUUCAUCCGAGAACACAUCUGAAAAGUCUCGGACUACUAAAAUUUCUCGAAUACAAAUUUCUUUCUUGGGUUUGCUUAGUUAGAGAAAACAGCUAGGUUAAAGAACUUGAUAAUAAGAAAAUUUACCAUGAUGGAAUAAAUGUUAAAGAAUUUUAUUAAUUUGUAAAUGACUCCUCAUUAGCAGAGUUGAAUACAAUCUUCUUAUGAAAAUAAUCUACGGUGGUGUGAUACACCGCU